UACGUAGGGGGCAAGCGUUGUCCGGAUUUAUUGGGCGUAAAGAGCGUGUAGGCGGUUUGGUAGGUCCGCUGUGAAAACUCGAGGCUCAACCUCGAGACGCCGGUGGAAACCAUCAGGCUAGAGUCCGGAAGAGGAGAGUGGAAUUCCUGGUGUAGCGGUGAAAUGCGCAGAUAUCAGGAGGAACACCUAUUGCGAAGGCAGCUCGCUGGGACGUAACUGACGCUGAGACGCGAAAGCGUGGGGAGCAAACAGG
rnacentral:rRNA from 1 species